rnacentral:rRNA from 1 species
GACAGAGGUGCCAAGCGUUAGGCGGAAUCACUGGGCUUAAAGCGUGUGUAGGUGGAUGCCUAAGUACCUUGUGAAAUCCCACGGCUCACCCGUGGAACUGCUUGGUAUACUGGGUGUCUUGGGCCAACUAGGGGCAGCCGGAACAAGCGGUGGAGCGGUGAAAUGCGUAGAUAUCGCUUGGAACGCCGAAGGUGAAAACAGGCUGCUGGGGUUGUGCCGACGCUGAGACACGAAAGCCAGGGGAGCAAACGGG